AUUCUCAAGACCCAGUUCCAAUGACAUUUCCACUUUGAAGAUUUGACUCUCCUUUUCCAACAGUUACACUCUGUGUAAAUAUGUCCUGGAAAGUAAUUAGAAAUAUCAGUGUAAACUCAAGGUGGCAUAUUUUCUGUUUAAAAAAAUGCCAGUCUGUUCAAUAAAUCCACAUAGAUUCUGAUCAACAUAGUGUCAUUAGCCCCGUCCCUAGUCCCUAGAACUAGAUUGUAAGCUUUUAGUAACACUUCCAACGAACUAAAAAUUAACAUUGCAAAGGGUAGAGACACAGGUAGGAUGAAGAAUUACAGGCAAUGAUGCAAUCUCGCAUAGUCAUCUAUGGAACUUUUUCCAGAAAACCAGUUAAUAUUCUGAAAAAUCAACAAAUAACAAGAUAUAAAAAAUAUUUAUCUUGUCUCUCCAAUAAAAAACUAUAUAUCAAGAUAUCCAAGGAGUUGAUGGGGAAUGUAUUUAAUAAAUGAAGAAAGA
rnacentral:lncRNA from 10 species